GGCGCAGGCGGCUUGCUAAGUCCCGUGUGAAAGCCCGCGGCUCAACCGCGGAAAUGCACUGGAUACUGGCGAGCUUGAGACGGGUAGAGGCGAGUGGAAUUCCCGGUGUAGCGGUGGAAUGCGUAGAUAUCGGGAAGAACACCAGUGGCGAAGGCGACUCGCUGGGCCCGUUCUGACGCUCAGGCCCGAAAGCGUGGGGAGCAAACA
rnacentral:rRNA from 1 species